rnacentral:rRNA from 1 species
GACGAACGCUGGCGGCGUGCUUAACACAUGCAAGUCGAACGGAAAGGCCCUGCUUGCAGGGUACUCGAGUGGCGAACGGGUGAGUAACACGUGGGUGAUCUGCCCUGCACUUCGGGAUAAGCCUGGGAAACUGGGUCUAUUACCGGAUAGGAGCCAUUUUUCGUGUGAUGGUUGGAAAGUUUUUUCGGUGUAGGAUGAGCUCGCGGCCUAUCAGCUUGUUGGUGGGGUAAUGGCCUACCAAGGAGGCGACGGGUAGCCGGCCUGGGAGGGUGGACGGCCACAUUGGGACUGAGAUACGGCCCCGACUCCUACGGGAGGGAGAAGUGGGGAAUAUUGCACAAUGGGCGCGAGCCUGAUGCAGCGACGCCGCGUGGGGGAUGACGGCCUUCGGGUUGUAAACUCAUUUCGCUAGGGACGAAGCUUUUUGUGACGGUACCUAGAUAAGAAGCACCGGCUAACUACGUG